rnacentral:rRNA from 1 species
UACGGGGGGGGCAAGCGUUGUUCGGAAUUACUGGGCGUAAAGGGUUCGUAGGUGGCCAACUAAGUCAUACGUGAAAUCCCUCAGCUUAACUGGGGAACUGCGUCUGAUACUGGUUGGCUUGAGUGCAGGAGAGGAUGGCGGAAUUCCGCAAGUAGAGGUGAAAUUCGUAGAUAUGCGGAGGAACACCGGUGGCGAAGGCGGCCAUCUGGACGACUACUGACGCUGAGACGCGAAAGCGUGGGGAGCAAACAGG